rnacentral:rRNA from 1 species
AACGAACGCUGGCGGCAUGCCUAACACAUGCAAGUCGAACGAGAUCUUCGGGUCUAGUGGCGCACGGGUGCGUAACGCGUGGGAAUCUGCCCUUUGGUUCGGAAUAACAGGUGGAAACGACUGCUAUUACCGGAUGAUGACGAAAGUCCAAAGAUUUAUCGCUAGAGGAUGAGCCGGGGUAGGAUUAGCGAGUUGGUGUGGUAAAGGCGCGCCAAGGCGACGAUCCUUAGCUGGUCGGAGAGGAUGAUCAGCCACACUGGUACGGAGACACGGCCCAGACUCCUACGGGAGGCAGCAGUGGAGAAUAUUGGACAAUGGGCGAAAGCCUGAUCCAGCAAUGCGGGUUGAGUGGUGAAGGCCUUAGGGUUGUAAAGCUCUUUUACCCGGGAUGAUAAUGACAGUACCGGGAGAAUAAGCUCCGGCUAACUCCGUGCCAGCAGCCGCCGCCG